AUUGAACGCUGGCGGCAGGCCUAACACAUGCAAGUCGAGCGAGCGGAGGACGGGUGAGUAAUGUUUGGGAAACUGCGGGAUGGAGGGGGAUAACAAGUGGAAAAGGUAGCUAAUACCGCAUACCAUCAGAUGUGCCCAGACGGGAUUAGCUAGUAGGUGGGGUAACGGCUCACCUAGGCGACGAUCCCUAGCGGGUCUGAGAGGAUGACCAGCCACACUGGAACUGAGACACGGCCCAGACUCCUACGGGAGGCAGCAGUGGGGAAUAUUGGACAAUGGGCGAAAGCCUGAUGCAGCCAUGCCGCGUGAGUGAAGAAGGCUUUCGGAUUGUAAAGCACUUUCGGUGGGGAGGCGUUAUCCGAAGAAGAAGCACCGGCUAACUCCGUGCCAGCAGCCGCGGUAAUUC
rnacentral:rRNA from 1 species